CACACACGCCUACAUCUGAGCGCUGUGUAACUAACACACACACGCCUACAUCUGAGCGCUGUGUAACUAACACACACACGCCUACAUCUGAGCGCUGUGUAACUAACACACACACACACACAUGCCUACAUUCGAGCGCUGUGUAACUUUAGAGUUCUUAUCGACAUCCGUUCACAUACAGCACACAUUCUCUUUCUUACGAUUCUGUAGCGUAUAAACUUUCAUUCUGACUUGUAACAAGUUCAUUCCAGCUACUCGGCUAACGUUAACACACCGUCGCUGAUCCACAUGCUACAUGCUAGCGGCGGAUGCUACAUCAGUACUAGCGUGGUCAGGAUAGAAACAUUGGAACGUCGUUGUUAAAAUUGUGUGAAUGCGUUACACUUUAUAGUAAUCUGGAACAGUAUGUCAUGUUUAUGACAUGUUAUAACUCCUUCCACUGGAAGUCAGAUUCCAUCCUGUGAGGUGUUGCGAGUUAGAAGUGACAGAGAUCAGAGCGUUGAGGUCGGGUGAACAAGUCUGUUCACACAGGAGCAGAGGCGAAUAGAAUCGAAGAAGGCGGGGCUUCGUGCCGUUGUUAGACGCAGCAUCGCAUGAACCUGGUGCGACAGGACAGAGAUGGGAAUCAGAAUUAUAUAUCGGAUUAUUUAUAAGUUCUGUGUGUUCUAUAAAGUGUGAAGCAUUUUCAUAAAUAAUUAGGACCUGUGUGUGUGUGUGUGUGUGUGUGUGUGUGUGUGUGUGUGUGUGUGUGUGUGUGUGGUGCUUAAUGAAUGCAUUAUAACACAAUUUUGUACAUUGUGUUUCUGGAAGCGUGUGUAAGGGGAAGUCUAUAAUGGGGCACUAACCUGAACACUGUUAUUGAAACACAGCCGUGUCUCUGCACUCUGUGUGAUAUUUAUAUAGAUAUAUAAACAUCGUGUGUCCUCGCGUUUGUUAUUCGGUACUCAGCUUGUGUGUGUGUGUGUGUGUGUGUGUGUGUGUGUGUGUGUGUGUGUGUGUGUGUGUGUGUGUGUGUGUGUGUGUGUGGUUUAAUCCUGACUCGCCCUCAGCUAAUGUCGCGUCUCUGCCUAAUUGGCACAAACAUUAUUGGGGUAAAACUGAAUUGUCGUUUGAAGACGUAUCGGCGUCGGUGACGACUCGGGUAACGAAGUUGUUUUUCUGUACAUUGGAUCAGAAUCCAUUUAAAGGGGAAGUCAUUACGUUAAUGCGGUUAGGACUUUAAGUGUAAGUAAUGAUUUUGCAGGUAAAACUCGGUUAAAGAGGACUUUUUGACCUCGAUGAACUCGGGGACGGUAAAAUUAAAUUUGUUACGAAAUUCCUCACGUAUUUGCGGAUCAGCGUGUAAUCGUGUAACGACGUCACGAAGGCCGCACACAGCCAACGCCGCUGCACGACUUUUUUAAAGGAACGUCGUCCGCAUUUGUGGCAGUGUGAAUUAAAAUGAUGUUUAAUAAAUUCGAUUCAACUCAAAUUUAUUUGUAUAGCGAAUAAUGAUUAAUAUAAACGUCACAUUUCCGGUUAUUUGUCGUCAUUUUACUGCUUUUAUUUUUGUUCCAUGUCUCAGUGUAAAACAAAACAACAACUUUGCCAAUUUUCUGGCUAUUUUAAUAAUAAUUUCAUCUUCAUUUCUAAACUAAAGAACGUGUGUAUGUCUUCUGAAGACAUCGGGUUCCCCAAAGGUUCCUCUUAUUAAGUCGUGUAUAUUUUCUGCUGAAACAGAUUCGACUCUUCACCUCGUCACUGAACUUCGAGAACAUUAAGAACCGUGCAGAAUGUCAGAGUCCUGGAAAGGAUUCAUUUGUUUUGUAAUGUUUUUUGUUUUUUUAUUUCACAAAAAUGUUUCACGUCUGUCUAAACUGUUCAUCUUCAAUAAAUGUCGUAUUAAUCACA